UGGAGGGCUGGAAGACGCACUCUCGAGGUUGUUUACUCACAAUAUCAGAUAUUAAGAUGAUUGUUAUAAUGAAUGUAUACUGAGGUUGAGGUUCUGACUAGUGAUUAUUUACCCGGGGUUCAAUACCUGCUAUUGAGGCGACCUGAAAAUAAUAUUCAAAAGUUUGGUCCUUGGACACAGAGGGUUUAAACACUAAAGUUACCGUCCAUCUAGUGAAGAGAGGAGAACCGGACAGAGGCAGCCAGCAUCCGUCAACGAGAGAGGGAGAAGCCUCACCGGGAUUUAACAGGUGGAAGAAACAACCGGGGAGCUCCAUCGGUCCACAAGAAAUGCAGACAGCCGGUGAUGAUGUAGUGGUAGCUAUGGUAACUAGGAGGCUGCUGGUAGAGUAGCUAGCUAGCUUACCGAGCUGUACCGUCUGGCUAGGAUAACUAGGAUGCUGCUGGUAGAGUAGCUAGCUAACUUAUGUGCAGGGUACCAGGUAGUUGAGGUAAUAAUGAGACUAUAAGGAGUACCAGUACUGAGUCAAUGUGCAGGGUACCAGGUAGUUGAGGUAAUAAUGAGACUAUAAGGAGUACCAGUACUGAGUCAAUGUGCAGGGUACCAGGUAGUUGAGGUAAUAAUGAGACUAUAAGGAGAACCAGUACUGAGUCAAUGUGCAGGGUACCAGGUAGUUGAGGUAAUAAUGAGACUAUAAGGACUACCAGUACUGAGUCAAUGUGCAGGGUACCAUGUAGUUGAGGUAAUAAUGAGGCAAUAAGGAGAACCAGUACUGAGUCAAUGUGCAGGGUACCAGGUAGUUGAGGUAAUAAUGAGACUAUAAGGAGAACCAGUACUGAGUCAAUGUGCAGGGUACCAGGUAGUUGAGGUAAUAAUGAGACUAUAAGGAGAACCAGUACUGAGUCAAUGUGCAGGGUACCAUGUAGUUGAGGUAAUAAUGAGACUAUAAGGAGAACCAGUACUGAGUCAAUGUGCAGGGUACCAGGUAGUUGAGGUAAUAAUGAGACUAUAAGGAGAACCAGUACUGAGUCAAUGUGCAGGGUACCAGGUAGUUGAGGUAAUAAUGAGACUAUAAGGAGUACCAGUACUGAGUCAAUGUGCAGGGUACCAGGUAGUUGAGGUAAUAAUGAGACUAUAAGGAGUACCAGUACUGAGUCAAUGUGCAGGGUACCAGGUAGUUGAGGUAAUAAUGAGACUAUAAGGAGUACCAGUACUGAGUCAAUGUGCAGGGUACCAGGUAGUUGAGGUAAUAAUGAGACUAUAAGGAGUACCAGUACUGAGUCAAUGUGCAGGGUACCAGGUAGUUGAGGUAAUAAUGAGACUAUAAGGAGUACCAGUACUGAGUCAAUGUGCAGGGUACCAGGUAGUUGAGGUAAUAAUGAGACUAUAAGGAGUACCAGUACUGAGUCAAUGUGCAGGGUACCAGGUAGUUGAGGUAAUAAUGAGACUAUAAGGAGUACCAGUACUGAGUCAAUGUGCAGGGUACCAGGUAGUUGAGGUAAUAAUGAGACUAUAAGGAGAACCAGUACUGAGUCAAUGUGCAGGGUACCAGGUAGUUGAGGUAAUAAUGAGACUAUAAGGAGUACCAGUACUGAGUCAAUGUGCAGGGUACCAUGUAGUUGAGGUAAUAAUGAGGCUAUAAGGAGUACCAGUACUGAGUCAAUGUGCAGGGUACCAGGUAGUUGAGGUAAUAAUGAGACUAUAAGGAGUACCAGUACUGAGUCAAUGUGCAGGGUACCAGGUAGUUGAGGUAAUAAUGAGGCUAUAAGGAGUACCAGUACUGAGUCAAUGUGCAGGGUACCAGGUAGUUGAGGUAAUAAUGAGGCUAUAAGGAGUACCAGUACUGAGUCAAUGUGCAGGGUACCAGGUAGUUGAGGUAAUAAUGAGACUAUAAGGAGUACCAGUACUGAGUCAAUGUGCAGGAUACCAGGUAGUUGAGGUAAUAAUGAGACUAUAAGGAGGACCAGUACUGAGUCAAUGUGCAGGGUACCAGGUAGUUGAGGUAAUAAUGAGUCUAUAAGGAGUACCAGUACUGAGUCAAUGUGCAGGGUACCAGGUAGUUGAGGUAAUAAUGAGACUAUAAGGAGUACCAGUACUGAGUCAAUGUGCAGGGUACCAGGUAGUUGAGGUAAUAAUGAGACUAUAAGGAGUACCAGUACUGAGUCAAUGUGCAGGGUACCAGGUAGUUGAGGUAAUAAUGAGACUAUAAGGAGAACCAGUACUGAGUCAAUGUGCAGGGUACCAGGUAGUUGAGGUAAUAAUGAGACUAUAAGGAGUACCAGUACUGAGUCAAUGUGCAGGGUACCAGGUAGUUGAGGUAAUAAUGAGACUAUAAGGAGUACCAGUACUGAGUCAAUGUGCAGGGUACCAGGUAGUUGAGGUAAUAAUGAGACUAUAAGGAGUACCAGUACUGAGUCAAUGUGCAGGGUACCAGGUAGUUGAGGUAAUAAUGAGACUAUAAGGAGUACCAGUACUGAGUCAAUGUGCAGGGUACCAGGU